rnacentral:rRNA from 1 species
GACGAACGCUGGCGGCGUGCUUAACACAUGCAAGUCCAACGGUGAAGCGCCUUCCUUUUUGGUGGGUGUGGAUGAGUGGCGAACGGGUGAGUAACACGUGAGUAACCUGCCCCCUUCUUCUGGAUAACCGCAUGAAAGUGUGGCUAAUACGGGAUAUUCUGGGUCUGUCGCAUGAUGGGUCUGGGAAAGAUAUUGUUUCGGUGGGGGAUGGGCUCGCGGCCUAUCAGCUUGUUGGUGGGGUGAUGGCCUACCAAGGCGGUGACGGGUAGCCGGCCUGAGAGGGUGGACGGUCACACUGGGACUGAGACACGGCCCAGACUCCUACGGGAGGCAGCAGUGGGGAAUAUUGCACAAUGGGCGCAAGCCUGAUGCAGCGACGCCGCGUGAGGGAUGGAGGCCUUCGGGUUGUGAACCUCUUUCGCCAGUGAAGCAGGCCUGCCUCGUUUGUGGGUGGGUUGACGGUAGCUGGAUAAGAAGCGCCGGCUAACUACGUG